GGGAGCGUGUAGGGAGAAGGGCCAGGACCAGAAGAGAAGGACUUUGGCGGGAAAGAAGGGAUCUCAAAACUGCGUGGGUUCGAGCUUCAGGAGGAAAAGAUUCAAAGGAUGCUGCCUUGGAAGUACCUGGGUCUGGAGACUGAGAGAAGUGCCAACUGCAGCUGAACGCAAAGCCACCGGUAAUGGUAAAGGAUCCAGCAACCAGGGAAACAGAGGGUCCUCAUGAUCUGAUCACCUGGGGUCGUGGGUAUGCCUGCGUGUCCACUCCCUCAGGUUCCAAGUGGGUGCCAGCCAAGUGGGUGAAACCUUUCAUCCCUAAAACUGCAAAACCACCUGCAGAGGCUCCACAAGUGGCCAGUGCUGCCUGGAGGAGGAGAAAGCGCCGAACCUUCUCCUUAUCAUUAUUUCUUAACAGUGUUUUUCUGGACAGUUUUGUUUGCACUAAAGGUCAUUUUUUUUUUCAACUUUAAAGGUACUCAAGGUCCGAACUCUGCGCAUCUCCCAUGAACCGAGCCUUCCUCCUUCUUAAUUUAAUAAGAAAAGGGGAAAUGUUGUAAUGCAUUAAUUGGGUUUAUAUUUCAUUGGAUUUGUAAUGGUUUUUCUAUGUAUCUGACCUGUGAUCUGCCCAUCCCCCACACUGAAAUGUAACUCAGCCCUGUUCCCUCCCACUUCUCCCUGAUUGGGUGGUGCCUCUGGGCCCUGCCUCUGGGCCCUGCCUCCUGGGGGAAAAAGCCCGGAUGGGGGAGGGGCCAGGUCUCUGUGGCAUCAGUGAACCAUCAGGACAGUCCAGCUAAGCAGAGCAGGACUUGAGAAUAAAAGCUGUAAAAUUCCAUCUGAAGCCAGAGAGCAGACUCUGUUACUUUUGCCAUCGGCGGCUGUCUAGUCUCUUGGGGAAAGCUACAAACUUAUAACAUGAUGUUGGCACAAUUGUGUUUAGUUUCCUUCACUGUGAGAAUCCUGUAUGUUUUUUAGCUA